CCCCCCUCUAACCCCUCCCAUCUCCUUCCUGCUCAGCAGAUUACCUCAGUUUUAGUUUUGUGCCUGAGGAGUACAGGCACAGAUUCCUUCAGUGUAGAUUUUAGUUAGGUUUCUGUUGUUUAUUUUGAUUUUACUUAUGUGUGCUUAGUCCCUGUUUACAGGAGACACGUAUACUAGGAGUGGGGUUAGUUAGUUAUGUGUCUCCCACUCCCCAGAGCCUCUAAGAAGCCACCAUAAUAUUAGUCACUGGGGCUUACUUGAUGCAGGAUGGAUUUCCUAGGAGGCACUGUACUGUCUGGAUACGGGCACUGUGGUGACGUCCGUAUCCGACGCCUGACAGCGGGAGACGCCGUAGACCCGGCAGGAGAUUCGUGGUGAUGGGUGCACUAUAUAGGGACAUGCAGCAACACUGUCAACACAGUACUAGCAGGAGGAGGCGGUCCAGCCAAUCCAGCGCCUCUUCUCACCUUUUCUUCUCUCUGAUGCUGUUGCCCGACGUCACAAUCCAAUGGAAACCAGAAGAGGGGAACCGCUGCUGCCAGUGCUGAAAGGGGCAACCGCCGCUGCCUAAGAGUAUACAGCCUGGUCAGCACAUGUCACAUUAUCUCCACGGGACGCCGUUGGGGCUCAUUCACGCACGGCAGACUAGAAGGCACAAGAUUUGCAAGCCUACAUUAAGGGGUGGCUAAACAGCGCCAUACAAGUACCACCACCACCUGCCCGCCCGCAGCCACCCCAGGCCCAGGAGGAGGAGGCACCAGGCCCCAGCUCAGGUGUACUAUCACCACCUGCCAGCCCGCACCCACCUCAGGGCAAGGAGGAGAAGGCCCCGCCAGGCCCCAUCUCAUCCGAAAUCAUCAUGGUGGCAUAGAAGGCAGAGGAGGAGGAGAUCUCAGCCCAGUCCAGUAAAUAUAUUUUGGACAUUCUUUAACUCGCUGUGGAGUAUUCACUUGUGGAAGGAGUGAGUUGCUGUGCAGGACGCUACCCUAGAGGAUUAUGCAUAAAGAUACCUUUCAAUAGGGUAUAUUCUCUAGGUCUGUUUAUAAAAACCAAUAAAAAAUGCUCAAAUAAAACCAAAAAGAAUAAACAUUUAAAGAAUAUUGA